AACGAACGCUGGCGGCGUGCCUAACACAUGCAAGUCGGACGAGAAAGUUUCCUUCGGGAAGCGAGUAAAGUGGCGCACGGGUGAGUAACACGUAGACAACCUGCCUUCCAGUCCGGGACAACCUUUCGAAAGAAGGGCUAAUACCGGAUAACACUUUGGGCCGCAUGGCCUGGGGUUGAAAGAUUUAUCGCUGGAAGAGGGGUCUGCGGGACAUUAGCUAGUUGGCGGGGUAACGGCCCACCAAGGCGACGAGUCUAGCGGGUCUGAGAGGAGUGAUCCGCCACACUGGAACUGAGACACGGUCCAGACUCCUACGGGAGGGCAGCAGUGGGGAAGUUUUGUCGCAAUGGGCGAAAGACCUGACGCAGCAACGCCGCGUGAGUGAAGAAGGCC
rnacentral:rRNA from 1 species